rnacentral:rRNA from 1 species
GACGAACGCUGGCGGCGUGCUUAACACAUGCAAGUCGAACGGAAAGGCCCUGCUUUUGUGGGGUUCUCGAUUGGCGAACGCGUGAGUAACACGUGAGUAACCUGCCCUUGACUUUGGGAUAACUUCAGGAAACUGGGGCUAAUAUCGGAUAGCAUCUCCUGCUGCAUGGUGGGGGUUGGAAAGUUUGGGCUGUUGGGGAUGAACUAGCGGCUGACGAGCUUGUUGGUUGGGGAGUGGCUUGCCAAGGCUUUGACGGGUAGCCGGCCUGAGAGGGUGCACGGCCACAUCGGGAAUGAGAUACGGCACAGACGAAUAUGGGAGGAAGCAGUGGAGACUAUUGCAGCAUGGGCGGGUGCCUGAUGAAGCACCGCGGCGUGCGGGAUCACGGUCUUCGGGUAGUAAACCGCUUGCGCAUGUGACCAAGCGUCUGUGACGGCACUGAGUAAAGACACAGCCGCUCAUCACG